AAUGAACGCUGGCGGCGGGCCUAACACAUGCAAGUCGAGCGGACGCAGGGGGCUUGCCCCCGGAUGCAGCGGCGGACGGGUGGGUAAUGCCCAUGUAUAUGCCUUAUAGUUGGGGAUAACGUCCGGAAACGGGCGCUGAUACCGCAUAGGACCAGAUAUAGAAAGAGGGGGAUCUUCGGUCCUCGCCGGUUUUGAUGAGCCUAGUUCGGAUUAGCUAGUUGGUGUGGUAAGUGCCUACCGAGGCGACGAACCGUAACUGGUCUGAGAGGAUGAUCAGUCACACGGGAACUGAGACACGGUCCAGACUCCUACGGGAGGCAGCAGUAGGGAAUCUUGCGCAAUGGGCGAAAGCCUGAUCCAGCAAUGCCGCGUGAGUGAUGAAGGUCUUCGGAUCGUAAAGCGCUUUAAGUUGGGAGGAAGGACAGUAAGUUAAGAUCUGGAUGUUUUGACGGUACCAAAAGAAUAAGCCCCGGCUAACUACGUG
rnacentral:rRNA from 1 species